AUGGCGGCAAAGAAACAUCUCUUUCGCUUUGGGUCUUUCGCGAUAAAAGACGGGUCGGAGAUUCGAUUCUGGGAAGACAUCUGGCUAGGCAAUGCCAGUCUCAGAGAACAAUAUCCAGCCUUAUAUAACAUUGCUCGAGAUAAGAACAACACUAUUGCGCACAUGCUCAGUUCAUCCCUGCCGAACAUUUCGUUUAGGCGGGAUUUGAUUGGCCCCAGACUUCUGUCAUGGCAUAAUCUUUUGUCCCGGUUGGAUUCGAUUAACCUGACACAAGGUCGGGAUGUGUUUCGCUGGAACCUUACUACAUCAGGGUCUUUUACAGUA
rnacentral:rRNA from 1 species